AAUGAAGUGCCUGAUUAAAGGAUUACCUUGAUAGGGUAAAUCAAGUAAUAAUAUUACCUUCAUUA
rnacentral:tRNA from 1 species